CAACAUUCUUCUUUCCUGAGUGUUCUCUAGCCUCAUGCCUCCCAGUCUCUACAAAUAUAAAGGGCAGCACCACCCUAAACAGAGGAUCCAGAGCUUGCUCUUGUUUGUAUCAAAACACAAAGAUCAGCGAGACAGAAUUAAACACAUACCUGUCUGAUCAUCUAGGUGAUGUCGUCUUCUCUUUUCUGUACUUUCUGUACUCUUCAAGAAAUCACUUGCUUUGAUAUCAAGGCUAGGUACCUGUUUUCUCUGGCUUAUUGAAGGACCACCAUAAGGGGCUGACAUCUGAUCAGAACCCUGUGAACUUUGAUCGAAAAGACCUGGCUUCCACUCACCAAACAAUCUAUCAUGGGAUCUGCCCCCUGCGCCUCCAGAGGCGGAAUCCUUGCCAUAACGAGAGCCUGACUGUCCUAAAUCUCUGUCCUCAGCCCUAGCAUCACCUUGACCUGAAAGUGAUUCUUUGUCAUGGGAUGAACCUUUGUGUUCUGAUCCUCUGAAAUCACUGGCAGUCCCCUUCCCAGCUUCACCAAAUGCAGAUUUGCCAGCACGUGAAUCCAGCCCAUAUUCACCACCCAUUCCAACAGCACCUACCACACCUUCUUUACCAUGGACAGAGUGCAACUCACUCCCAUCACCUCCCAGUCUGCUAGCACCACUUUCACCAGCCCUGGAUCCAGCUGACCCAUAUGCAGAUCCAGCAACUUGUAUGGCAGAGCCACCAACACCCCCACCUUCUGACGAUAAGCCAGCUCCUCCUACUCCACCUACAUAUCCUUGAGCUCUGCCAAGCAGAGCAUCCUGACCAUGGACAGAUCCCAUGACUUCUUUACUCCCUGAAGAAAAAUGAGCUGCCCCUGACACAGCUCCAGCUGGGAGACCAUCCUUCCCAAAUGGAGAUCCAACUGCCCCUGCACCAGCCAAACCUGCACCACCAACACCAGCCCCAGCUGGAAGACCAUCCUUCCCAUAUGGAGACCCAACUGCCCCUGCACCAGCCAAACCUGCACCAGCAACACCAGCCCCAGCUGGAAGACCAUCCUUCCCAUAUGGAGAUCCAACUGCCCCUGCACCAGCUAAACCUGCACC
rnacentral:lncRNA from 1 species